GGCUCAAUAGUUCAGUGGUAGAUCGACUGUCUCGUAAACAGUAGGUCCCGGGUUCAAUCCCCGGUUGGGCCU